AUUGAACGCUGGCGGCAGGCCUAACACAUGCAAGUCGAACGAGUGGCGGACGGGGGUGCAAUGUCUGGGAAACUGUUCGAUGGAGGGGGAUAUCCACUGGACACGGUGGCUAAUACCGCAUACCAGCGGAUGUGCCCAGAUGGGAUUCGCGAGGGGGUGGGGUAACGGCUCACCUAGGCGACGAGCCCACGAUGGUCCGAGAGGAUGACCAGCCACACGGGAACUGAGACACGGUCCAGACUCCUACGGGAGGCAGCAGGGGGGAAUAUGGCACAAUGGGCGCAAGCCUGAUACAGCCAUGCCGCGUGUAUGAAGAAGGCCUUCGGGUUGUAAAGUACUUUCAGCGAGGAGGCGUUACUCGCAGAAGAAGCACCGGCUAACUCCGUGCCAGCAGCCGCGGUAAUUC
rnacentral:rRNA from 1 species